CUUAUUUUAUACCAAGGCUAUGCUUGCAGAGGGGGGCAAGGGGACCGACUCAUGCAUUAAUCGGUACAUUAAUAAGAGGCAAUAGAUUUCUUCAUUGCUUUUGUUUUGUCAAAAAAGUUUUCUUCUUUCCAUCUGAUUUAUUUUCCUUUCUUUCAUUAAUAACCCAUAUGGUUAAUAUAUAUUGCGAUUUUCGUGGAACUAAAAAUGGGAAAUUUGAAGCUUAAUUGUCACACUUUAAGGAUAGAGUUGCCACUUUGUCCCCCCUCUCCCUUUCCCCUCUCCUGUUGAGUGGAUUUGGUUUAUUAUUAUUGAGAGUAACAGUGGCAGUGAAGCAGGAUUCAUGGUCUGAGCUGUCAAAUGGGAAAUGCAAAUUUUUACUACUGAUCCAACUGUUUUUUUCCUUCAAAUUUUCAGAAUGAUUGGGUGAUUGCUCAUUUUUCUUUUAUUGUGUGAAUCAAAGACUAUUCAUAUGUGAGACUAGUAAAGGACAACCAUACCUUGUCUAUAUCAUGGUUUUUGGAAGCAGUCUGUGGUGGUUGUGCCAUUUGAUACAAUGAAGAACCGGUCCCUGGCUACUGGGAUGCUCCUUGCAUUCAAUUUUACAAGGAAGGGAUACUGCUUGCUGUAUCAACAAGUGAAAAUGGAAUCAAAAUACUUGAAAAUGCUGAAGGUGUAUGGCUUCUGCGUUCUAUUGAAAAUCAAGCUGUUCAUACCUCCAGAGUGGAUCCUGCAACUAUUGCAAAGGGACUGGUAAUUAGCUCCUUUGGUGCUUCCCAUUCAACUGCUGGAACAAGCACUUGAUAUUAGGCAAAGUCCACAGAAACACUGAAGCUUUUGAUUUUCCAAAGAAUUUUCUUAUCAAAAUAUUCAGAAGAAUAUUUCAGGAGCUAAAAUUUUUAUUGACGUCUAUGCCUAUGUUCAGUUGACAUGUCUGAAUCUGGGGGAAAAGAUGCCUUCCGUGGAAGAUCUUGCUUAGGCCUAAAGCAUGUUUGUUAUGUAAAUGUCUUUUCGUGUGCUUUCUAUCAUACGUU